GAUAAAGUAAUUUGGAAAAGGACAAACUCCGAUAGUACUUGGUCCCAUGGGUGGCUGCUUAGUAAUGCCAUAUUAUAUAAGCGAUUUACUAACACCUGCAACAUUUCGAUGCGAAACUUGGAUAUUGGGCCAGCGCACAAGGAAAACUACCGAGAGGAAGUUUGAAGCGUGUAAUUUUAAGUUUUGUUUCUUGCAUGCCGAUUAAAAUUUAUCUGAAUAAUCGAUGGUACGAUCAUUUUAACAGUGUUGGUAAUAAAACAACGUUUUUCUGCAAUUAAGAAAAGGAUGUUGGCAUAAAAGAUUCAUGAGGCACGGCUUAUGGCAAGAAAUAAUGCUGCUUACUGUUGUGUUGGCGGAUUGUCAGUCGCAAAAUAACGUUGCUAUGCUGUAGUUGAAAUAAAUCAAUGCGACUUACGCGCGGAAUGCAACAAUGUGUUGAGAUAAAGAGAAACUGGAGCACGAAACGCGAAUUAAGAGAAACUGCAGAGUGAAUGAAGAACCUGUUAUUCUCUUUAUUUAUGGGCAUUCCAGAUCUUGCAACCUAAUGAAAUUCAAUGGAAAAAUAGACCUGGGGCUACCCUUUCCAUGGGUUGUUGUCGAAGGGACAUUACGUGCUGCAUGGUAAUGACCCUCCCUAUUGCUCUCACGUUGGCAGUGCGUAGUUGGCGAUAGACUGAAGGGGACGCGUGUGUUUGGAAACAACGAAAAAUCGCCUAGAAGGCGAUACUUCUUCAGGCAAUAGAAAUUGGACGUUAUCGAAUACAUGGCCGGGUCAACUGGUUCAUCCAACAAGUUUGUUGCACGUAACGAUAAAUCGAUUUUCUCACGUGUUAGAAUAAUCCGAUCACCGGAUUUAUCGGAUAAAGAAACGGUA